rnacentral:rRNA from 1 species
UCUGGUGAUGAUGGCGAAGAGGUCACACCCGUUCCCAUGCCGAACACGGAAGUUAAGCUCUUCAGCGCCGAUGGUAGUCGGGGGUUUCCCCCUGUGAGAGUAG